UAUGUUUUCAAGUUGAAUUGAAAGCCAAAACAUAUUUUAACUAUAUUUUAAACAAGUUGAAUUGAAAGCCAAAACAUAUUUUAACAUAUUUUAACCAUAACCAAAACAUAUUUUGACCAUAUCCCUUAUUAUUGAGGGAGGUAUUUCUUCCCUAGUGCUGUGGGGAUGACUUGGACAGAAACCACUGGACACUAUACAGAUGUAGACUGACAGUUUACUGGUCACCUGCACUAACAGCCUGAGAGAAAAGGACACUGCAUAUCACAGAGAGAUGCAUAGAUGUUACACUCAGAAAGAGAGUGAACAACUAGAAGAUGUGGAAGAAAAUUCCAAGGGCCAAUUUUGAAACAAACCAGGCAGAGACCCAGAUGCAGAAUCCUGCAGGCUGAGGGAUGUUAGGAAGAGUUAGCCCACCACUGCUGCGCUGAAACCAGGAUGACGCAAACUGGGCCUCAGGCCAGGAUCAACAUCUUGUCUAGACAGAGAAAUAUUGAUGGAGA
rnacentral:lncRNA from 1 species